rnacentral:rRNA from 1 species
GAUGAACGCUGGCGGCGUGCUUAACACAUGCAAGUCGAACGGAAAGGCCCUAGCUUGCUGGGGUACUCGAGUGGCGAACGGGUGAGUAACACGUGGGUGAUCUGACCUGCAAGUUGGGAUAAGCUUGGGAAACUGGGUCUAAUACCGAAUAUGACUACUUCUUGGAGGUUGUGGUGGAAAGCUUUUGCGGUGUGGGAUGAGCCUGCGGCCUAUCAGCUUGUUGGUGGGGUAAUGGCCUACCAAGGCGGCGACGGGUAUCCGGCCUGAGAGGGUGUACGGACACAUUGGGACUGAGAUACGGCCCAGACUCCUACGGGAGGCAGCAGUGGGGAAUAUUGCACAAUGGGCGCAAGCCUGAUGCAGCGACGCCGCGUGGGUGAUGAAGGCCUUCGGGUUGUAAACUCCUUUCGCUAUCGACGAAGCCACUUGUGGUGACGGUAGUUAGAUAAGAAGCACCGGCUAACUACGUGCCAGCCGCCGCCGUAA